CGCGUCACCGCUCAACACGAACGGAUACACUCGUUACCAUGACGACGACAACAACGCACCCCACCAAUGUCUUGUGUGUGUCUGUGGGGUGGGAGGACAAAAUGAGGAAGAACGUGUUGCUCAGGAAAGGACUUUCAUUCAAGGAUUGCUUGAGAGUGACGACCCAGCUGCUGCCCCACUGCCGCCACGCUGGGACCGUUGGACUGGAAACGACAUCGUCAUAUGACAUCAUCAAGCGACAUGGGAAAUAAUGAGCUACUAUUAGGGCUGGAUUUUCCAACCAUAUCACCAAGCCCUACAAGUGCCGAUCACAAUAAGCCACUCGAUUAGGUACACAGGCAGUCACUUACCUGACCAAGAUUGUGUCAUGAUGAUGUCAAAAUGGUGGUCCGGUGACAAAAAAACAAGACAGGAGGGGGCGGAGUGAAGGGAGAAGAAGCAUGCUGGACACAAGUUACUGGAUGACGAUGAUGGAUGUUAGUCAAGGUUAAAUCAAGGAAUAUGAACACAACAUGCCGGCACGGUGAAAGACUGGUUAGCACAUCUGCCUCACAGUUCUGGGACCGGGGUUCAAAUCCCGGCCCCACCUGAGUGAAGUUUGCAUGUUCUCCCCCGUGCCUGGGUGGGUUUUUUCCGGGCACUUCAGUUUCCUCCCACAUCCCAAAAACAUGCGUGGUAGGUUGGUUGAAGACUCUGAAUUGCCCGCAGGUGUGAAUGUGAGUGCGAAUGGUUGUUUGUUUCUAUGUGCCCUGCAAUUGGCUGGUGACCGGUUCAGGGUGUACCCCGCCUCGCGCCCGAAGAUAGCUGGGAUAGGCUGCAGCAGCCCGCGACCCUAGUGAGGAUAAGCGGUAAAGAAAAUGGAUGGAUGAACACAACAUCACGUCCAUUUAAGGAUUGGUACAGUUGUAUCAAGUAAAAAGGCUUGAAGGCAAAGUGUCACACAUUUUUGGCACGUGGACUUGAAUGCUCACGAUUGACCAUUCCGAAGCGUUCUGUAUUGUUACUUGGUGUAUACUAGACUUUACGUUGAUCUGAUCGGUGUGAUAGGUAUCGGCCAAUAAUUACUAUUUUAUGCUGAUCGGCUUUCAUGUCAUAAUUCGCCAAUCCGAUCAAUGACGUCACAAGACAUUGAACUCCGCGUCGCCGUUGCGUAUGAAUCCAAAAGCUAGUUUAUUUUUAGUCUUGUCACGUGUCUUGUGGCGCAGUACUGUAAAUGACGGCCAAUAAAGUUUUUUUCUAUCUUGUCGGUUACAAAAUACAUCAUCAGUGUGGGACUAUUUUGCGGUGUCUCAGACAAACGGCACGUAUUUGCACUCUGUGCACAACUGAAGUAUGUUGUGGGGAACGUCAUUUAAAUGCUUCAACACAAAUUUCAUCGGGCACCUGAAGAAUGUACACAAGGAGGAGCAUGCCGCGUUCAAGCAACGCAGCGUGAGGAUAAGCGGUACAGAAAAUGGAUGGAUGGAUGAAUGGAUACAGUACUCAGUAUACAGUACACAAGUGAACAAGUCAUAAAGUACACAA